GAAAAAUUAGUUAAACUUCAUAAUAUAAGCCUGUCACGCUUAAGUUAUCAACUACAAAAUUGAUAUUUUUCA
rnacentral:tRNA from 1 species